rnacentral:lncRNA from 1 species
GGAGGUGGAGCGAAACAAGGCGGGGUGAAAGUCGAUGAGCCCGUCACACGCACUGGGCAACGCGGUUGGGAAGGACAGAAAUUGGAAGAGAAAUUUGUGGCUUGAGGUGGCCUCCGAUGUAUUCUUUCCAAACCGUGUUCGCGAGACUUGCAAUGUUGUAUAUUUUUUUUCUCUGGCCCACCGGGUCUUGUAACGUACAUCUUGUUAGUUGAAAAAUGAAAAGAAGAUUUUGUUACCUCGUCCAUAUCU